CGCGGCCUAUCAGCUUGUUGGUGGGGUAAUGGCCUACCAAGGCGACGACGGGUAGCCGGCCUGAGAGGGUGACCGGCCACACUGGGACUGAGACACGGCCCAGACUCCUACGGGAGGCAGCAGUGGGGAAUAUUGCACAAUGGGCGCAAGCCUGAUGCAGCGACGCCGCGUGAGGGAUGACGGCCUUCGGGUUGUAAACCUCUUUCAGUAGGGAAGAAGCCGUGAGGUGGCGGUACCUGCAGAAGAAGCGCCGGCUAACUACGUGCCAGCAGCCGCGGUAAUACGUAGGGCGCAAGCGUUAUCCGGAAUUAUUGGGCGUAAAGAGCUCGUAGGCGGUUUGUCGCGUCUGCUGUGAAAGACCGGGGCUCAACUCCGGUUCUGCAGUGGGUACGGGCAGACUAGAGUGCAGUAGGGGAGACUGGAAUUCCUGGUGUAGCGGUGAAAUGCGCAGAUAUCAGGAGGAACACCGAUGGCGAAGGCAGGUCUCUGGGCUGUAACUGACGCUGAGGAGCGAAAGCAUGGGGAGCGAACAGGAUUAGGUACCCUGGUAGUCCAUGCCGUAAACGUUGGGCACUAGGUGUGGGGGACAUUCCACGUUUUCCGCGCCGUAGCUAACGCAUUAAGUGCCCCGCCUGGGGAGUACG
rnacentral:rRNA from 1 species